ACUGCCCAGAGCGUAACAUGCUAGAACCUUUUAAUAUUUAUUUUAUGUCUUAUACAUAAAUUUAGCUUAUACUUAAUAUAAAUCAUGAAUUGUUCUGUGAAUCAUCCGUGUGAUAUAUUUAUAUUUAUUGCCUCUAAAUUACAUAAGAUGUAGUGAAUUGUACAACAAAAAUGAUUUCUACUUUUGUUUGAAAAUUUUCUAAUCUAUGAAAUACAGCAUACCUAUCUGUUUCAGUUAUAUUUUUUCCCCCUUAUGUAAAACGCCUUUUCUUUGGAUAACUUAUACGAAAUGAUAACUGACAUCAUAACAUCAUCAAUAGAGCCGGAUUGAACCAACUUGACUUCAAUUGAAAGUAUGAACUUAUAACGUAAUUCCAUUGAAUCUUACUUAAAUUGGAGUUGGAGCAACCGGGCUACCUCUUUCAUUUGUCAGUCAUUUUUUGCAGGAAGGCUACUUAGAAAUAAAUGUCUUGGUGAGUAAGAAUGGAAAAAUGAGUGCAAGGAGAAGGCGGAAGCGAGACAUAUGGUACAACUCAAAGACAUCUUUUACUUAUGACUUGAAUGGUUCACGCUACCUCUUGAAAGUUUGUGCUGUUUUCUUUAGUUAGAUUCAAUACAUAAAAGUUAAGUGAAUAAAAUAUUAUUCAGUUUAUUCGGUCAUCAACUAACUAUAAUUAUAACUCAUAAAUCAGAAAUGGAGACUCGUACUUAACUCCUAUUACAUUGGGACUUCAAACUCCAAGAGGACUCGAUUUGGCCUAGAAAAAAGAAAUUUCAGAUUUUAACUAGAACUCAGUGUGAGUGACUCGUUAUUCGACUAGAAUUCGUUGUCAGAUUGAUAAGGUUCAGAUUUUAAUAAGAAUCAAGCUUGAAACUCACUUACAUAUGUCCCCAAAAACUCGGAACUUUUCUUGGACUUGGAGAUGUUGAACUUUACUUUUCAGACUUCAAUCUAACUUAUCUCUCAAUAAUUGAGACUGUAUUUAUGGUCGUAAAAGUUUAUUUUGAACAGCUCCAUUAACGAAUAUGCAUAUGUAUAUAUACUCGUAACAUUGAAUUUUUAUUUUAUAUAUGUGGAAAGUAUUCUAUAAAAGAAUGUUCCUCAUCACAUACAAUUGUUAAUAUGGAACUGAACUCUGUUUGCUCUUGAAUUUGACUUAUAUACUCGUAUAUGUAGACAUAUAUAUGUUUGAGUAUAAGUCAUAUGACUGACUGAAAGAAAAAAUAAUGCCCUUGUUUCAUCAUCGUUCAUAAUUGUCAUGCAAAGUUUUACACUGAAGACACUAGACAAAUAAAUUAUAUUAGGAGGCUAAGCUCCAUCAACUUGCACACAUUAUUGGAUAAAAAAAAAUGCUAGUAGUUUAUAACAUUUUUGGCAUUUUUUUACUUUUAUAACGGACCUUGUUAUAUAUCCUGAUAUCUAAAAGACGACUCUUGAACAUUUUGACAUCUUUAACAGUGUCAUUGAUGUCAAUAUUGGGGAGCGCUUGAUUCACUAUUUGUGCAAAUUCAUAAGGACCUUUUUAAAUACAGUACUACAUUAUCAGAGAUUGGAAGAUAGCCAAAUGAUAGUAUAAGAGUAAAAAAAUAGUCACAAAAUAAGUGAAGGCCUUAUUAAUAACAACGGAUACCUAAAUUCCAAAAAUAAUAACAUAAACAUGUCCUAGAUGAAGAUAUUCUUUGGAGAAAAUAACUAACACAUGCUAUUAUAAUAUUAUUCUAACAGAUUUAUUCUUUGUAACUCUGGAUAGAUACAAUAAAUAUAAUUAAGUAAUACUCAUAUUUAUGCUAAUUUAAUUAAUGAGUUUCGAUGGAAAUGAUAAAGAUACAACAAGUACCUGGAGCCUAAUUUCUACGAAUUACUCUUUUCCAUCUAUUAAUCAUUAUUUGUCCCGAAAACUUAUUUUUAAAAAAACAUCCUCAUAAAAUUAUAAUAUUAAAAUAAUAUGGUUUGCUUGAUUGUAAGCAAAAAGUAUUAGAAUUUAAAAAAUACUAACUAAGAAUUUUACGACAAUAAAAUUAAUACUUAAUAAAUCCAAACAAAAUUUUGGUAUAUGAACAUUGAAUGGAUAAUGACGAUAAUUAAUUAAUAAAAUAGGUAUACACAAAUUAUAAUAGUAACUACUAAUAAGAAAAUGAAUAGCACGUAGUUAUUGUAAAAUUGAGACGCUCGUUUUUAGCGUUCAAAUCCUGUAGUAAAAGAUGUGUUUAGGUACUACUGAAUUAACAACCUUUUAACAUCAACUGCCUGUUAUAUAUAUUUUUAAACAAUUUAGACAGAAGAUAUAUGGGAAUGCUUACUUCAGAAUGGAAAAAAUAACACCACGACAAUCUCUUAAAUAAUUAACACAAAACAAGAAAGAGGUUACGGAACUCAAGCUUUAAAUCAAGUAGCGAAACAAGGACAAAAGUGAUUAAAAGCUGAAAAGGGUAUCUGUCAAAAUUUACUUUCUUUGUCCGCUAGAAGAAGUGUUUUGUUACUAUUUCUACCUUCAAGAGAAUAAAACAAAUGUACUACCUAGUAACUAGAAUAAAUUUGUGUAUUAAUAAAUAUAUAGAUAGAGUUUACUUAUUUUAUUAAUAAAUUAUGUCCAAUGAUAAGUUUAAUGUAUCAUAAUCUUCCGAGAAUGGCCUGCUUUGACAUCUCUGCUACUUGUCGCUCAACAAAACUUUUUGAACACUGCCAAGAAUAAUUUUAUAAUUUAGAAAGAAGGAAAUUUCUUGCAACUCUACUAGUCAACUCACUCUUACAAGAACUGUAUGGCUUUGCAGCCCAAUGUCGCAUGAGGCACAUGAGGAGUUUUAGAGGAGUUUCAUUCUAAAAUUCAGCAGGAGGUCUUUUCGAAGGAUUAAUUGAGUUUAGACAAUCAAGUAUAGGGAGAAGAUUUUUUAUAUGAUUUUGGGAAGAAAAUGAAUUAAUGCUAAAAAGUAGACAACCUUCUACGUUAAAAAGAACAUUAUUCUAGGAAACCUUUUAUAAUUAUAUAUAUGUAUAUUAAUUUUAGUAUGCAUUUUUUUUUAAAUGCAUAACCAAAGAUAGACAAUAAUUUUUACUUUAAAGCAAGGAAACACAACUGGAAGUGUGCCUUAAAAUUGAGUUCCCUUUUUUUCCACAAAGACCAUCAUUCUUCCUAUGUUUUAUUACAAAUGUGGAAUAAAGGAAACGUGGCUCACAAUAGUUGAUUCAUUUCAUAUUAAUUUGUUUACUUAUUAUUUAAUUAAUAAUUAAUCAUUGUGUGCAAUUGUUCUGCUCCUGUAUGCAAGUGGGGAUUUAAAAGGAUCCGUAUGAGCUUUCACAAAUUUCCCAUAAAAUACUCCAAAAACAUGGCCAAAGAGCAUAUGGUAAUGUUGAAAGAAACGAUGAACUUCUACACCAACAGAAAAUUCAAGACUAUGCAGUCUAAAUUUUAGAGUUACUGAUUUUAUAACUGAAUCAGUGGAUGAAUCCCUUAAUAAAGGAAAAUCACUACACUAAAGUAAGCAAUACUCUCCAAUACUAUGGAUAUUGAAUAUUGUUUGUGUAUCACUGAGAUGCUCGCUUUUUCCUUAAUUCGCCAAUGUAUCUCCAGAACUUAAGUAAAACUUUCGUUCUAUUAAAUUUAUUAAAUAUAUUCCUCGUCAAGUAUUAAUUCUGAAUAAUGUUAUAAAAUUAAAUUAUAAAUCUACAAGCGGUUGAAAAAUGAUGUCAUCCCAUCAAAGUAGCCGAAUCUGGCGAGAUACUUCUCAUCACCACCAACUAAAAACAAACACUGGUAUAAACUAUCACCAAUAGAUUGCAGUUGGAGAAUGAGAGACAAGAAGUUCUGGGAUGGCAAUGUUUAAUGAUUUCUAUGACUAACUCUCUUUGGAAUUAUUGGAAUCUGGGUUCUCAGUGAACAAAACUCCUGAAGUUGCACUUGUCAAAAUCAUAACCUAUACUAAGCUUGUCGAGCAGUUUUGUGCCUUAGUUUAUUAAUAAAAAAUAAUUAAAACAGUAUGUCAAUGUGGAAAUAUUGGAUGCUGAUCUUGAGCCAUAUGACAAAAUUACUUGGAAUUGAACGUAAAUUGACGUAACAGCAGGACUCAGAUAAAAAAAACCACAGUCAUAUCAGUCUCAGCUUACCUGACACGAAAACAGAAUACUGUCAUUAUGACUUGAUUAAAAUUUGCAAAGGGAAAUGGAAAAAUAUUCAAGUACAGAAGUGUCAAGACUUGAAUGGAGAUUAUAAUAGACAACUUAUGCAAGUUUUCAAGGUCAUUGCUUCAACAUAUUAACCUAAUCGUAGGUUUUUCUGUGUAGAUUUUCUGAUAAUUCUGUGAAAAGUUCAAAAUUUUGGUUUUGUUCAUAAAAUAAAAUAUUUUUUCCCCUUGUUUCUAGUAGUUGAUGAUAUUUUCAGCAAUUUAUUAAAUAAACAUUUUAUAAUUAAUUUGCAUUGACAUUACCAUAUUUUGGUGAAAGAGCUGCAAGUUGUUCCCUAAAGUCAAGGUAUAUACGCUAGCAGGCAUUUUAGUAAAUUUUGCAUUAUCUAAUUCUUAAUUAAUAGAACUAAUAGAUUCUACUCUAUGGAGCAGUAACUUAUAUUUUCUUUCCUCCAAAAUCCUAUAAUUUAUUUUUUUUAAUAACUUUGAGAUAUUUUCUGCUUUUUUGCAUCUAAUCUUUUUGAGCAAUGACAAGCUACACCAAAAUUCACUCGUGAUACAUUUAUAUAAGUUAAACCCAUCCUAUUUUACUGUAAACGUAACUCCAGAUAAUUCCUCAUGUCAUAUUCGAAAUAUUAAAAACAAUACUUCCAGGAAA
rnacentral:lncRNA from 1 species